rnacentral:lncRNA from 13 species
ACCAGUUACAGUACAAUAGAGAAAAAUCCCAUUUUAAUAGCAAGAAAGAAGAUUAAAAACUCAGGAAUAAACAUAAUAUGAAAUAUGUAAAACCUAGAUGUGAACAAUUUAAAACACUUCAGAAAGCCAGAAAAGUAGACUUGUGCAAAUGGAAAGACAAUGUUUAUUCUUGAGUAAGAUGAGUCAACAUUAUAAACAUGUCAGUUAUCCUUAAAUCAAUUCGCAGAUUUAAUGCAAUACCAAUAAAAAUACCAAGCAGCUUUUUUAUGGAGCUAUAUAAGUUGACACAAAGUUCAUUUGGAAAAACAAACAUGCAAGGAUAGUCAGGACAACACUGAAAAACAAAAACUACAAAAAAAAAAAUCGAAGAAGAUAAAGUACUUCAUGUUAAAAGAAGGGGGUUUUAAGAAAAUAAACAUUUAUCUGCUCACUUUUGCAAAAGGAAUGCAGGAGGGAUAAACCAGAAUCAAUGAGAUUAGUUACCUACAGGGAGUGGACAGGGAUGGGGUGGAAAGAAUGUGUAGGAGGAAUGAGGGGAAAGUGCCACUUCUCUGUAUAGAUCUUUUGUUUCUGCUUUGUUUUGUUUUUGAGACAAGGUCUGGCUCUGUCGCCCAGGCUGGAAUGCAGUAGCAUGAUGAUGGCUCACUGCAGCCUCGAACCCGGAGUCUCAAGUGAUCUUCUCACUUCAGCCUUCUCGGUAGCUGGGACUACAGGAAGGAAGGAAUUGCCAUGAACAAAGCGUAUUGUGCCUCUGAGGAAUUGUCAGCUUCAAGUAUGUGCCAAAACAAGAUGCUUGUUAAGUCUGAAUUUCAGCAACAGAGAAGACACUUACUUCCUAAGAUGCUGCUGUGUUUAUGUCAAUGUAAAUUAUUGGGUAAAUUUAAAUGUAGUUUAACAAGCUUCCUUUCGUUGAGGGAGAUGAAAAUAUGACUUACCCUUAAAAAACAUUAUGGGGCCAGGCACAGUGGCUCAUACCUGUAGUUCCAGCACUUUGGGAAGCCCAGGUGGGCAGAUCAAGAAGUCAGGAGUUAGAGACCAGCCUGGCCAACAUGGUGAAACCCCAUCUCUACUAAAAAUACAAAAAUUAGCUAGGUGUGGUGGCAUGCACAUAUAAUCUCAGCUAUUUGGGAGGCCGAGGCAGGAGAAUCGCUUGAACCUGGGAGGAAGAGGUUGCAGUGACCCGAGAUUAUGCCACUAUACUCCAGCCUAGGUGACAGAUCAAGACUUCAUCUCAAAAAAAAAAAAAAAGAAACGAAAUCAAGUUAAGAUGUGUCCUACUGGAUUAGGGUGGGCCCUAACACAAUGACUGGUGUUAUUUCUCAAGAAGAGAGAAAUUUGGACACAUCGACAUGCACAGGGAAUGCCAUGUGAUGAUGGUGGCAGAGACUGAAGUGACAUAUCUACAAGCCAAGGUACAUGGAGGAUUGGCAGCAACUCCCUUCUCUGGAGCCUUGCAAGACAGGAUGGCCCUGCUGACACCUUGAUUUCAGACUUCUAGCUUCCAGAAUUGUGAGAAUAAAUUUCUGUUGUUUAGCCA